ACUAUUUUGGCAGAUUAGUGCAAUAAAUUUAGAAUUUAUUUAUGUGAAAUUAUCACAAAUAGUA
rnacentral:tRNA from 1 species